ACAAUAUAUAAAUACCAAAAAACAUACUUCGAAUCCUGCAAUUCGAAAUUUAUUAUAGAAUGAUCUACCCCAUCUGUGUUGGCCCAAUUCUCUCAUAUUCUCCAACGCUGACAACGAUUCCUAUCAAUUCUAUAGGAAAAAUAUUAAUUAUAGUAGUCGAAUUCACAAAAACAAAGAAGCAGAUAAAGUAAAUAAAAACUUUGGGUUGUAUUCUUCUUUUAAAAUUGCAUCAAAACAGGAAUCAAAAAUUCUAAAAUGAUUAUCAGGCGGAGGAGCAAAGGAAUUGACCUCCGUUGUUGGCAAGAAGAUUAUCACAAACUUCAUAUCCGUUGUUCUUCUAUAGUCUGACGAAAUCUGUAGCUUAAAAGUGUGAAUUUUUUUCCAGUUACCUUCCCUCAGCUCACCAUCAAACUGGGAAAUAAGGUGUGAUGGAAUCCUUGUUUCGUCUCGUCUCGGAUGUAUUAUCCAUCACUUUGACAUGUAACAUGUAACUUGUACCU
rnacentral:lncRNA from 1 species